rnacentral:rRNA from 1 species
UAACACAUGCAAGUCGAACGAUGAACUGGUGCUUGCACUGGGGAUUAGUGGCGAACGGGUGAGUAACACGUGAGUAACCUGCCCUUGACUCUGGGAUAAGCCUGGGAAACUGGGUCUAAUACCGGAUAUGACCUUCCAUCGCAUGGUGGUUGGUGGAAAGCUUUUGUGGUUUUGGAUGGACUCGCGGCCUAUCAGCUUGUUGGUGGGGUAAUGGCCUACCAAGGCGACGACGGGUAGCCGGCCUGAGAGGGUGACCGGCCACACUGGGACUGAGACACGGCCCAGACUCCUACGGGAGGCAGCAGUGGGGAAUAUUGCACAAUGGGCGGAAGCCUGAUGCAGCGACGCCGCGUGAGGGAUGACGGCCUUCGGGUUGUAAACCUCUUUCAGUAGGGAAGAAGCGAAAGUGACGGUACCUGCAGAAGAAGCGCCGGCUAACUACGUGCCAGCAGCCGCGGUAAUACGUAGGGCGCAAGCGUUAUCCGGAAUUAUUGGGCGUAAAGAGCUCGUAGGCGGUUUGUCGCGUCUGCCGUGAAAGUCCGGGGCUCAACUCCGGAUCUGCGGUGGGUACGGGCAGACUAGAGUGAUGUAGGGGAGACUGGAAUUCCUGGUGUAGCGGUGAAAUGCGCAGAUAUCAGGAGGAACACCGAUGGCGAAGGCAGGUCUCUGGGCAUUAACUGACGCUGAGGAGCGAAAGCAUGGGGAGCGAACAGGAUUAGAUACCCUGGUAGUCCAUGCCGUAAACGUUGGGCACUAGGUGUGGGGGACAUUCCACGUUUUCCGCGCCGUAGCUAACGCAU